GCGGCCGCGGGAGGAGGUGGGCAGGGCGGAGUGCCGGGGGGGGCAGGCAGGGGCGGCGCGGCGGGGCUGGGCUGGGCCGGGCCGGGCCGGGCGCACCGUGCCGCGAAGAAAGACCCCCGGAGAAAGUGGAAGUGCGGCGCGGCGCCGGGCCCCGCCGCCGCCCCCGCCCCGCGGCCGGCCGGCACGGCGGAGAGGCGGCUGCCCCGUCCCCCCGAGUGAAAAUGGCUAAGGUGACACAGCUGGGUUUGUCAAGUGAAUAAGUCUGGCAACAAGGGGCUGCUGCUCAAAGAUUUGUCUGAAGCAGGACAUGCUCGUCUACAUCCCAGCGUGCCAACACAGCCAUAUAAAGGAAAGGCUACAAAAACACUGCAAGCUGCUCUGCUCUGCUUCCACUUCCUACCACAGAUACUGUUUUUGAUGUCAAGUGUCCCAGUACUUCCUUGACCCUUUUCACUGUUUUUCGCUGAAUGUAUUUUAGUGUCAAAUAAUUUGGCUCUCGAUUUAGUCCCAGGUACAAGUCUCCUGAUUGUUCACACUGCAUAUAUGCUAAUUAAUUCAGUAUCCCUAGCAGAGAUAGAGAAGUAGUUCCUUCUGAAGAGGAGGGGGGUGGGGGUGGGGGGGUGGAAAAAG
rnacentral:lncRNA from 1 species